UACGAAGGGGGCUAGCGUUGCUCGGAAUUACUGGGCGUAAAGGGCGCGUAGGCGGCACUGUUAGUCAGGCGUGAAAGUCCUGGGCUCAACCCGGGAACUGCGUCCGAUACUGGAAGGCUUGAAUCCGGGAGAGGGAUGCGGAAUUCCAGGUGUAGCGGUGAAAAUGCGUAGAUAUCUGGAGGAACACCGGUGGCGAAGGCGGCAUCCUGGACCGGUAUUGACGCUGAGGCGCGAAAGCCAGGGGAGCAAAGCGGGAU
rnacentral:rRNA from 1 species